GUGGGGAAUAUUGGGCAAUGGACGCAAGUCUGACCCAGCAACGCCGCGUGAAGGAAGAAGGCUUUCGGGUUGUAAACUUCUUUUGUCAGGGAAGAGAAGAAGACGGUACCUGACGAAUAAGCCACGGCUAACUACGUGCCAGCAGCCGCGGUAAUACGUAGGUGGCAAGCGUUGUCCGGAUUUACUGGGUGUAAAGGGCGUGUAGCCGGGUCUGCAAGUCAGAUGUGAAAUCCGCGGGCUUAACCCGCGAACUGCAUUUGAAACUGCAGGUCUUGAGUAUCGGAGAGGUCAUCGGAAUUCCUAGUGUAGCGGUGAAAUGCGUAGAUAUUAGGAAGAACACCAGUGGCGAAGGCGGAUGACUGGACGACAACUGACGGUGAGGCGCGAAAGCGUGGGGAGCAAACAGGAUUAGAUACCCUAGUAGUCC
rnacentral:rRNA from 1 species